rnacentral:rRNA from 1 species
GGCCGCAGUAUUUUGACUGUGCAAAGGUAGCAUAAUAAUUAGUCUUUUAAUUGAAGGCUGGUAUGAAUGGUUGGAUGAGGUGAAUUCUGUUUUAUGUUAAUUUUUAUUGAAUUUAGAUUUUAAGUAAAAAGACUUAAAUUUUGUUAAGGGACGAGAAGACCCUAUAGAGUUUAAUAAAUGUAGUAAUUAAUUGAGUUAAAUUUUAAUUUUUGAUUAUUAUGAAAGUUAUUUAAUUGGGGUGAUUAGGAGAUAAGAUUAACUCUUCUUUAUAUUUAAUAUAAUAAUUAGUUAUAUGAUCCAUAUUUAAUGAUUAAAAGAUUAAAUUACCUUAGGGAUAACAGCAUAA